AAACAUUUAUGUUGUUAUUUUCUUGUACAUAAAUUCAGAGCACACAUCUGAAUUAAUUGUUUAAUUGGGUUGAUUAAACAUUAAAACAUGUUUAAAUUAACAAUUUUGAAAACUUUCAUUACAAUCUUUUCAUAUAGGGACCAUUCUUGAUUGUUUGUGGAACAUAUCUUCAUCGAGAAGACUAGAGCACAAUAACAUUUACGAUGCCUAAUUU
rnacentral:lncRNA from 1 species